CAGGUGUGAGCCACCGUGCCCGGCCACAUUUCUUAUUUCUUCCCAUAUGCGUAAUAGUAGUGGAUGGGGUUAGGAGUAGGUAGGGAUGAGGUACUGAUGAUGUGAUGUAAGCAUGAACAAAACCCUUAAAGAAGAUCUGACCUAGAGAAGAAAAGAAGACAGACAAUUAAUAAAGGGCGUUGUGGCAAGAAUGGAGGGUAGGCUAAAGCUAACAGCAGUCAGAUUACUAAAUGGAAACAGUAGUAUUCUAAAAUCCUAGCCCAGAGGGAUCAUGCCUGGCUUUGUGUGGUGGUUGGUUUGGAGGGCAGGAAACAGACUAGUCCAUGGGUUUAGGCAUGUGUGGGUCUUUCCCAAGAUCACAGAGCUAGUCCAGGACCUAGUAUUUGAGUCUGCUGAUCUCAUAGUAAAUGCACUUUGCACCACACUACAGUGCUUCUCAAGUCAAGGCAUAUUCAUGGACAUUAAAGAGUCAAAAUACCACUCCGGGCAUGGUGCAAUGAAGUGAUGAAAUGCAUGACACAGGUACGUGCUUCCUGAGGCAAUGGCUGUCUACCUAGGCACUCAGAGUCAGAUCAGGUGGAUUUCAAAACAAUUACUGAAAAUUAGUUCUUUCUCAGUCCCCAUGACUUCCUGCCAGUUGGUUCACUGUCUUCUGCUAACCUUCUCCAAAUUAUCCCUGUGGGGGUUCUAGUAGGCCACUGUAUUCUCAAAACUGAUAUUUUUCUUGAUGUUUGCUUCCCGCUGCCCUCCAACAAGUGUUUUGGAUAUGCCUUCUCAUGCCCAAUGAACAUUUGGCAUUUAUUAGUUUUUUUAAAUGAGCAUUACCUUGCACUAGCACUAUUCUAGCUCCUGGAAUAGAGCUGUGAGCAUAAAGGCAGGAAUCUUUUCACAGGGUGUUUACAUUUUAGUGAGGAAAGACAGAUAAAAAUCAGGAAAAUUAAUAAACACAGUAAUUUCAGAGAAGGAUAUAUAUUAUAAAGAUAGUAUAGCAGGAUGAUGUGAUAGUGAUGGGAGAUGGACCAUAUUUUGGUUGAUAGACAAGGAAGGACUUUUUGAGGCUAUAUCUUUUUUUGAUGCUGAGAAAACAUUUGCUGAAUUAAUUUAUUACAUAAGCCUAUUAAAUAUAUCUAUAAAAUCUGGAAACAGAGGCAAAACGAUAUAACAGCUGGUUUGUUGAUUCUACACAAUGAUACCGACUAAUACAAAAUAAUGCAAUAUAUAAUAAAAAUAUGCAAUAUGUAACAUGUAUCAGUGUGCUGCUUCUCCUUAGCAGUGCAUGAUUCCAUGUAUCAUACAAAAUUGCAAUGAAUAUGGCACAUUAAAGCAGAAUUUCCAUCUAUUCCUGCAUACAAUUAGUAUUAGUCUGUGAUAUUGCCUCCUAUGAUUUUUUGUUUUUCUUUUCUUUUUUUUAAUUUGUAUAAAUUGAAGGGGUAUAAGCAGGGUUUUGUUACAUGUAUAUAUUGCACAGUGGUGAAGCCUGACCUUUUGGUGCAAACAUUACCUGAAUAGUGUACAUUGUACCCAUUAAGUAAUUUCUCAUCCCUUACCUUGCUUCUGCCCAGGCCAUACCUUUGAGCUGACUGGAACUGCAAGAAAGAACUAACCUUAGGAAGACUGGGAUAGAAUGUUCUGUACAGUGGAAACAACAAGUAGAAAGGUUCUGAAUCAGGAAAAAGGACACCUGCGUGUGGAAGCUUCCCAGAUCGGCAUCUCCAGUUCCUGGCUGUCUUCUGAGUCCAGACUCAUGCUCCCACUGAACAACCACCUCUCCAGAGCUUCCAUAAGCACCCCCAACCUAGCAUGAAAAAAACUGAACUCAGCAUCUUCCCCUUCUCUACAACCCUCAUGCCUUUACUUCGUCCUGUUGUAUUUAGUGAAAGUGCCACCAUCCAUGUAGUUUCCUCCAACUGGAAACCUGCCAGGAAUCCGUGAUUUCUCCCUCCCUUACAUUUUUCUCCUCAAAUUGGUUACCUCAAACCUCAAAUCCAUCUCCCCUUUAUUCCUAUUGGUAGUCCCCUUUCGUAAGCCCUUAUUACUAAGUCUGUCUGGAUAGAAAUAGCCUUCUAACCCUCUUUCUUAACUUCAGAUUUCCUCACUUUAAUGUAUCCCAUACUGCUAGUGGAGGGAAAUUUCUAAAAUUCAGCCUGACUGUACCCUUAGCUUUUAGGUAACAGGCAAAAGCCUUUUCAAAGCAAAUAAAUCCUCUCCUUAUCUGGCCCAGCCUCAAUUCUUACCACAUUCUUCUCUUCCUUUCACAUUCUUCUCUCUUUAUUCUCCCAACUCAUAUUUACUUUUCUUCAAAACAUUCAGAGCUACUUGACCCAAACUGGCCAUGCUUGUUUUUGCAUUUGCACUAAUACUUUUCCUCUGCCACGCACAGGGAUUCUCUCUAUGCUCCUCUUCAUAUGCUUCUGAGCUCCUAUGCUACCAUGAGAGAUGGAACUCACUGCCUUCCCUGAUGCCCUGGCACUCCGCACCGGCAACUGUUGUAGGUUCUAUCACACACUUACAAUUUUUCACAUGUCCAUCUCCGUCACUAGUAUGGGAGAUCCUGGAGGAAGAGGCUAAAUCUGAUUUUCCUCUCUGUCUCCAGAGCUAGGAUGACGGCAGUGUUGGGCACAGAGGAGGUGCUGUAUGAGUGUGGGAAAGUGCUGCACAUCCAUGUGGGUUCUAGUAGGGGAUGUAUUUGACCAGGAGGGGCCUUGAGGUGCUUCUGGGCCCUCCUCUUAUUCGGAGGGCUGUGACAACUAUGUAGUCUUGGAAAAACUACUUUAAAAAUGGUUCUCGUGUUGAUCUUGGUUUAUAUAGAAGAUACUAAGAAUCUCCCAGUACCAAGUCUUCUAGCACAUAUUAGAAAAUAAAUAAAUAUUUGAUUAAAAUUAAUGAAUGAAG
rnacentral:lncRNA from 10 species